rnacentral:lncRNA from 1 species
UUCAAGAGUCACAUGCUCUACUAACUGAGCCAGCCAGGAGCCCCAAGGAGCAUACAAGUCUUACAGAGAGUGAAUGACAAGUGAAUGAAGAUAAGCAGGGCUAGGUUUUUCUGCAUCUAUGCAAGUGGAUAGAGAGCCCUUUGAAGGAGAGACUAUAACCUGAUUCAUCUGUGUACCUCCAGCCCCAGUCGUAAGGAAUAGUUAUUCUGAAGGUCCUAAACAAGAAAGGAGUACACUCCUACGAUUAUCAGAUGAAGAAGCUCCAGAGAAGAAAAUAGCCAGUCAGAAACACAGAAUCUCCUAGUUCCUGACAUGGAUUUACCCAUUAGACUUCACUAAUUCGAGGAUCUCCUUCUAGCCCCAGAACACAGGUACAUUACUAUACUUGAUUCUCUUAUCUAUGGACAAAAUGGCAUGACUUUCAAUCCAUUUGGUAA